CAAGCAAGCAAAUCUUUAGGAUGGUGGUGCAAACGGAGCCCAGCUGGGAAACCAGAAAUGACCCAAAGUCCAGCAAAUUGGAUAGGAAGGUGGAGGAAUUUUUCAAAUACGACCAACACUUAGAAGCCUUGUGGGUACACCGACGGCCCACCGUUGGCUCACCUUAGGAGAAUGGCACACCGGAGCCUCUGCAUCGGGUAUGACGCACGCCU
rnacentral:lncRNA from 1 species